AUUCCAGCUCCAAUAGCGUACAUUAAAGUUGUUGCAGUUAAAAAGCUCGUAGUUGGAUUUCUGGUGUCGCAGUGCUUCCGCGUGUUUAAUUACAUGUCGAGUUGUGUUUGCGUCGCCAUCUUUUAGCAGCACCUUCCUGGCAUUAGGUUGUUGGGUUGGUAAUGCUAAUCGUUUACUGUGAAGAAAUUAGAGUGUUCAAAGCAGGCUUAUGCCGUUGAAUACGUUAGCAUGGAAUAAUGGAAUAGGACGCUGGUUCUAUUUUGUUGGUUUUGAGAACCAGAGUAAUGAUUAAUAGGGACAGUUGGGGGCAUUCAUAUUUCAUUGUCAAAGGUGAAAUUCUUGGAUUUAUGAAAGAUGAACUUCUGCGAAAGCAUUUGCCAAGGAUGUUUUCAUCG
rnacentral:rRNA from 1 species